UGGGCUGGUGGUCUGGGUGUAGAAAGAGGUGGUGCUGAUGAGGAAAACUUUGAUGAUUUGUUUAGGUGGAGUUUUAUCAGGGUUUAAAAAAGACUUGGGUUCUCUCUUUAUUGUGCAGCACAAGGUCGGUUAAGGACAGCCGACUUGAGAACAUCAUCUGGAGGACGCAGAAGAGCUGAGUGGAUCUUCCUCCACAGUGCUGCUUUUUUUACUUUUCGCUUUGACCUCCUGCAUUGUGCAUUUAAGCUCUCUUCUUUGCCCUGUCUCGGCCUGUGAGUGAGGACUUUAUUGUGCUGAGAGUUUCCUCCACGGUCAUCUUAGCUGCUUGGUUUUGUGUGGAGAGUUGACCUAUGCAGUGACCUCUUCCUCCUUUUUCUCCUGAGAGGAUGCAAGAUGACCAUCAUCUUUGAGAGGUCCCUAUGGAAAAGCUGCCAGAACUACGUCAGAGGAGUCUUCUUGUCACCUCCCCACAGAGAUCAGUCACUGCUUCAGCACUGUGACUUGGUGGAUCUCAUGCCACUGAUGGGCCAGUGGAAAGGAAAUGGUCAUUUCUUGAGAUGAAAAAAACGUCUUAAAAGGUGGGGUAGGCAGGAUAUGAGGAUGUGCCAGUUUUUAGGAGAAACCAUAAAUGUAAACUCUACCCCUCCCAACCAGUU